rnacentral:rRNA from 1 species
GAUGAACGCUGGCGGCGUGCCUAAUACAUGCAAGUCGAGCGAACAGAUGAGGAGCUUGCUCCUCUGACGUUAGCGGCGGACGGGUGAGUAACACGUGGAUAACCUACCUAUAAGACUGGGAUAACUUCGGGAAACCGGAGCUAAUACCGGAUAAUAUAUUGAACCGCAUGGUUCAAUAGUGAAAGACGGUUUUGCUGUCACUUAUAGAUGGAUCCGCGCCGCAUUAGCUAGUUGGUAAGGUAACGGCUUACCAAGGCAACGAUGCGUAGCCGACCUGAGAGGGUGAUCGGCCACACUGGAACUGAGACACGGUCCAGACUCCUACGGGAGGCAGCAGUAGGGAAUCUUCCGCAAUGGGCGAAAGCCUGACGGAGCAACGCCGCGUGAGAGAUGAAGGUCUUCGGAUCGUAAAACUCUGUUAUUAGGGAAGAACAAAUGUGUAAGUAACUAUGCACGUCUUGACGGUACCUAAUCAGAAAGCCACGGCUAACUACGU